GACGAAGGGGGCUAGCGUUGUUCGGAAUUACUGGGCGUAAAGCGAGUGUAGGUGGUUGUCCAAGUUGGAUGUGAAAGCCUUGAGCUCAACUCAAGAAAUGCAUUCAGGACUGGGCGGCUAGAGGACCGGAGAGGAUAGUGGAAUUCCCGGUGUAGCGGUGAAAUGCGCAGAUAUCGGGAAGAACACCCGUGGCGAAGGCGGCUACUCUGGGACGGUACUGGACGCUGAGACGCGAAAGCGUGGGGAGCGAACGAGGA
rnacentral:rRNA from 1 species